UACGGAGGAUGCGAGCGUUAUCCGGAUUUAUUGGGUUUAAAGGGAGCGCAGACGGGUCGUUAAGUCAGCUGUGAAAGUUUGGGGCUCAACCUUAAAAUUGCAGUUGAUACUGGCGUCCUUGAGUGCGGUUGAGGUGUGCGGAAUUCGUGGUGUAGCGGUGAAAUGCUUAGAUAUCACGAAGAACUCCGAUUGCGAAGGCAGCACACUAAUCCGUAACUGACGUUCAUGCUCGAAAGUGUGGGUAUCAAACAGGAUUAGAAACCCCGGUAGUCCUGACGACU
rnacentral:rRNA from 1 species